AGGGUUUGAUCAUGGCUCAGAUUGAACGCUGGCGGCAUGCCUUACACAUGCAAGUCGAACGGCAGCACGGGAGCUUGCUCCUGGUGGCGAGUGGCGAACGGGUGAGUAAUGCAUCGGAACGUGCCCUGAAGUGGGGGAUAACGCAGCGAAAGUUGCGCUAAUACCGCAUAUUCUGUGAGCAGGAAAGCAGGGGAUCGCAAGACCUUGCGCUUUAGGAGCGGCCGAUGUCGGAUUAGCUAGUUGGUGGGGUAAAGGCUCACCAAGGCGACGAUCCGUAGCGGGUCUGAGAGGAUGAUCCGCCACACUGGGACUGAGACACGGCCCAGACUCCUACGGGAGGCAGCAGUGGGGAAUUUUGGACAAUGGGCGAAAGCCUGAUCCAGCCAUGCCGCGUGAGUGAAGAAGGCCUUCGGGUUGUAAAGCUCUUUCGGCGGGGAAGAAAUCGCAUUCUCUAAUACAGGAUGUGGAUGACGGUACCCGAAUAAGAAGCACCGGCUAACUACGUGCCAGCCGCCGCGGUAAUAC
rnacentral:rRNA from 1 species